rnacentral:rRNA from 1 species
UACGGAGGGUGCGAGCGUUAUCCGGAUUCACUGGGUUUAAAGGGUGCGUAGGUGGGAAUGUAAGUCAGUGGUGAAAUCUCCGUGCUUAACACGGAAACUGCCAUUGAUACUAUGUUUCUUGAAUUUUCUGGAGGUUAGCGGAAUAUGUCAUGUAGCGGUGAAAUGCUUAGAUAUGACAUAGAACACCGAUUGCGAAGGCAGCUAACUACAGGGAUAUUGACACUGAGGCACGCAAGCGUGGGGAUCAAACAGG